rnacentral:lncRNA from 1 species
CAUCACCCUCCUGCCAGGGGUUGAAGUCAGGAAGUAGUUUAUUUUCGCUGAAACUGAAGGGGGAAGUUAAAGAGAAAAAUAGCUGCAACUUGGUCAAUUCAGGAAAACCAGGGAUAUUCUGAGGGACUCACAGGAUCAGAGCUGCGACACUUCUAACAUAUGAAUUCUCUCAAUUCUGAUGCCCUUUGACCUCUGCCACACAAUGCCAAGACAAACCCAGACCCCAGGCCCUGGAAACAGAGGAGGGGCAGGACGUGAUAGAGCUUCAGCAACAUGGAGAGGAGAUAGCCGGUCUGGCUAGGAUGGAAGAAAUGUACAUGGAGAAGAAAGACAGAAGAACCAUCACUGAGCACUAAACUAAUCAGCCAUAAUGUGCAGAUUGACUGGCAAGCCUAUCACCACCUUGAUAACAGAUGACAUU